AUCAACGCUGGCGGCGUGCCUCAGACAUGCAAGUCGAACGAUUAAAGCUCCCUUCGGGGAGUGCAUAAAGUGGCGCACGGGUGAGUAACACGUAAGUAAUCUACCUUUGAGUGGGGAAUAACAUCGGGAAACCGAUGCUAAUACCGCAUAACGCAGCGGCACCGCAAGGUGGCAGUUGUUAAAGGAGCAAUUCGCUUGAAGAGGAGCUUGCGGCAGAUUAGCUAGUUGGUAAGGUAAUGGCUUACCAAGGCUACGAUCUGUAUCCGGUCUUAGAGGACGGUCGGACACACUGACACUGAAUAACGGGUCAGACUCCUACGGGAGGCAGCAGUCGGGAAUUUUGGGCAAUGGGCGAAAGCCUGACCCAGCAACGCCGCGUGAAGGAUGAAGUAUUUCGGUACGU
rnacentral:rRNA from 1 species